rnacentral:rRNA from 1 species
AGAGCGAACGCUGGCGGCAGGCCUAAUACAUGCAAGUCGAACGGACCCUUCGGGGUUAGUGGCGGACGGGUGAGUAACACGUGGGAACGUGCCCUUUGGUUCGGAACAACUCAGGGAAACUUGAGCUAAUACCGAAUGUGCCCCCUCCUUUGAUUAGGGGGGUGGGAAAGAUUUAUCGCCAUUGGAGCGGCCCGCGUCUGAUUAGCUAGUUGGUGGGGUAAAGGCCCACCAAGGCUACGAUCAGUAGCUGGUCUGAGAGGAUGAUCAGCCACACUGGGACUGAGACACGGCCCAGACUCCUACGGGAGGCAGCAGUAGGGAAUCUUGCGCAAUGGGCGAAAGCCUGACGCAGCCAUGCCGCGUGAAUGAUGAAGGUCUUAGGAUUGUAAAAUUCUUUCAGCGGGGACGAUAAUGACGGUACCCGCAGAAGAAGCCCCGGCUAACUUCGCGCCAGCAGCCGC